AGACAACAAAAUGUUUAAUAUUAUUAUUUUGUCACCUUAGGUCGAUCGGUAUCUCACGUUUUUAAUUUAUUAAAAAUUUCAUUUCCUAAGUUUUUCUAGGUCACACCCAUUAUUUUCCUGGGCCAUUAGCUCAGGUGGUUAGAGCGCACCCCUGAUAAGGGUGAGGUCCCUGGUUCAAGUCCAGGAUGGCCCAUAUCUCUAUGUUGGGGGUAUAGCUCAGUUGGUAGAGCGCCUGCUUUGCAAGCAGGAUGUCAGCGGUUCGAGUCCGCUUACCUCCACUGAUUACCACCUCUUCCAUAAUCAAUAGAAGGGAAAAUUUUUUGAGUUGUGAUCAUAAUUCUGAACGAAUCUAGCUUCCUAAUGAAAUCAUUAAGAUGCUGGACUCAUUGAAUUAAUUUCAUUGUUUUCAGAGAACCUUGACAACUGCAUAGAUUAUUUUAAAGACAAUAAGCAUCUUGAAUGAUGCAGAUUUAUUAUUUGUGCAUAUGCAUUAAUAACAAUUCUAUUAAGCUGAUGCUUCAAUUUUGAAGUUAUU
rnacentral:tRNA from 1 species